GGAGAGACUCCAUACUGAUCACAACUCCACGGUGUGCUUGGGACUGGCCCUGGAGUGCGUGACCAUGGCCUCUAGCUGCAACUUAUUGCUGCAGGGAGGAAUUGGUACCUGUUACCAAAAUCUUUGGCCGCAAAGUGAACUUCAUCAAAGGUGAAAUGACCAUCAAGGGGAAGUGAUUUUAAUGUAGAAGGGAUGCUUGAAAGACAAAGAAGAGAGGGGAGGCAAAGGUGGAAGGAGUUUUAAUGCUAUAGCUUUUGUUUCUUUGUGAGCAAAAGCAAAGGAGAGGUUUGGAAGAGCCAAG